rnacentral:rRNA from 1 species
CGAGGAAUUUUCCGCAAUGGGGGCAACCCUGACGGAGCAACGCCGCGUGGGUGAAGAAGUCUUUCGGGAUGUAAAACCCUUUUCUGUGGGAAGAAAGAAAGACGGUACCACAGGAAUAAGCAUCGGCUAACUACGUGCCAGCAGCCGCGGUAAUACGUAGGAUGCAAGCGUUGUCCGGAAUUACUGGGCGUAAAGGGCGAGCAGGUGGCAAGUCAAGUCUGAUGUAAAAUCUCCCGGCUUAACUGGGAGGGGCCAUUGGAAACUGGCUAGCUGGAGUGCAGGAGAGGCUAACGGAAUUCCCGGUGUAGUGGUGAAAUGCGUAGAUAUCGGGAGGAACACCAGUGGCGAAGGCGGUUAGCUGGCCUGUAACUGACACUGAGGCGCGAAGGCUAGGGGAGCGAAC